CCGCCCGAGGAUGGGGCUGCGUCCCAUCAGGCUGUUGGCGGGGUAACGGCCCGCCAAACCUGUAACGGGUAGGGGCCGUGAGAGCGGGAGCCCCCAGAUGGGCACUGAGACAAGGGCCCAGGCCCUACGGGGCGCACCAGGCGGGAAACCUCCGCAAUGCGGUAACCCGUGACGGGGUCACCCCGAGUGCUCUCCGUUUGGAGAGCUUUUCCCUACUGUAAGAAGGUAGGGGUAAUAAGUGGGGGGCAAGUCUGGUGUCAGCCGCCGCGGUAAUACCAGCCCCACGAGUGGUCGGGACGGUUAUUGGGCCUAAAGCGCCCGUAGCCGGCCCAGCAAGUUCCUGCCUAAAUCCUCGGGCUCAACCCGGGGAAAGGUGGGAAUACUACUGGGCUAGGAGGCGGGAGAGGCCGGGGGUACUGCCAGGGUAGGGGCGAAAUCCUAUAAUCCUGGCAGGACCACCAGUGGCGAAGGCGCCCGGCUGGAACGCGCUCGACGGUGAGGGGCGAAAGCUGGGGGAGCAAACCGGAUUAGAUACCCGGGUAGUCCCAGCUGUAAACGAUGCGGACUAGGUGUUGGACGGACUUUGAGUCCGUCCAGUGCCGCAGGGAAGCCGUUAAGUCCGCCGCCUGGGGAGUACGGCCGCAAGGCUGAAACUUAAAGGAAUUGGCGGGGGAGCACCACAAGGGGUGGAGCCUGCGGCUUAAUUGGAGUCAACGCCGGG
rnacentral:rRNA from 1 species